CCAGCCUGGGUGACAAGAAGACCCUGGGAAAAAGAAAAGGAAAAAAGAAAGAAGAGAGAGGGAGGAAAAGAAAACAGAAGAAGAUGCACAGCAGCGGGCUGGCACUAAGUGGCAGUUGCCCUUAGAUGGAGACAGAAGCUGACCCUGUUUCUCUUAUCGAUGUAUCUCCAGCACCUGGAAAAAUGCCUGGCACGUAACAGGAUGAAAACAGCUCCACUGGGCAGGAAUCUGCCUGUUUCGUCCAUUGCUGUGCCCCCAGCUCCUGAACAUCACGUGGCCCACAGUAGGCCCUUGGUCAGUGUGUGUGGAUGAAUCACAUCUACCAGAGUCCAAGGUAAAAGCUUGCCUCUGCUGCCGGGCCAUGCGGCUGCCUGGCGUGGUGGCCUGGGGCAAGUUGCUCAGCCUCUCUGUGCCCUGGCUCCCUUAUCAGUGGCUCGGGCAUGGUCUGAGUCAUGCCUGCACCCCAGGGUCGUCAUGAGGAUUACAUGGGCUCAUCCUGGUCAUAUGCUUCCCGAGGUGACUGUGUGAGGCGGAGCCAACACCCCCUGCAGGCAGCCGCAUGCCCUGUGCCCCACCCCAGCCUGGGAAGAAUCACUCUCGUCCCCAGGGGCAACAGAACACACUGCAGGGAAGCUGAAGGGCUUCCUUAAAGGAGGCACAGCUGGUUCCUGGUGGAGCAGAGAGCAGAGAUGUGAACCAGUGACUUGGCACGAACAUUACCACUACGUUGUUUGCUGAGGGAAAGGAAAAAGAGGAAGAAAGUGAAGGAAAGUGAAGAGACGGGGGUGAGAAAGGACAAAGUAAAAAGCAAAGGAAGAGGAAACCUUAUUUUUUUUUUCUUUUGAGAUGGAGACUCGCUCUGUGGCCCAGGCUGGAAUGCA